UUUGUUGCCAAUUUUUAUCCAAAAUUUUUAGGGCACAAAUAUUUUCCUUUCAACACUAAACACCUUUUCCACACUUUUCUUUCAUUUUUACAGAGUGAGAGAGUGAGGAGAACCUCUCGUCACUCACACAGAGGGAAACCUUUGAUCGCUCCCCACCCGCCUAUCCACCCACGUGCUCAUAAAAUAUUCUGUGAAGGAAGAAGGUGUGUUUAGUGAAGUGAAGAAGUAUCAGAGACAUAAUUAUUUCAUUGUUGCUGAAAAUUAGCAGUUGCUACUUGGACGCUACUUCAUCAUUGCUAGAAAUUUGUCGCUGCUGCUUGGAAGCUGCUUCAGUAUUGUUGGCUUAUUAAACACUCAAAAUUCGUAUUUCUUUGCAAAUCAAAAGAUAAUUUUUUCUACUUUUUAAUUUUCUUCACAAAUUUAGUGUUUUAUUUAUAGAUUUGGCUGAAUCUCAAGAAAAUUCAAGGUAAAGUCUUUGAGAUUUGUUUAGCUAAAGUAUUUGAACUCAAGUAAAUCUACUUUAUUUAUAGAUUAGGUUGUAUCUCUAUUGUAUAUACUUUUAUGUUGAUAUUUAUUUUCUGUUUGUA